rnacentral:lncRNA from 1 species
CAAAACAAAAAAAAAAUUCAAAAAUGAAAUUCCGCAAAAUCAAAUGGUUAUUACAUAUGACAUGUGCUAAUUUUUAUAAUUAUCACUGUUAGUUUGAUGAUCACAUUAGUUGUACGUGCGAAACAAGUACGGUCUUUGUAGAGUACUAAUCUUCAUGUAAAGAAAAUACUAGAUAGAUCUAUAUCUCUUAAUCUCCAUCUUGUGUUAAUCUUAAAAUAUC